UACGAAGGGGGGCUAGCGUUGCUCGGAAUCACUGGGCGUAAAGCGCACGUAGGCGGACUCUUAAGUCAGGGGUGAAAUCCUGGAGCUCAACUCCAGAACUGCCUUUGAUACUGGGAGCCUUGAGUUCGAGAGAGGUGAGUGGAACUGCGAGUGUAGAGGUGAAAUUCGUAGAUAUUCGCAAGAACACCAGUGGCGAAGGCGGCUCACUGGCCCGGUACUGACGCUGAGGUGCGAAAGCGUGGGGAGCAAACAGG
rnacentral:rRNA from 1 species